rnacentral:rRNA from 1 species
CUACGGGUCGCUCCAGUGGGGAAUAUUGGGCAAUGGGGGAAACCCUGACCCAGCAACGCCGCGUGAAGGAUGAAGGCUUUCGGGUUGUAAACUUCUUUGAUUGGGGAAGAAGAAGGACUGUACCCAAGGAACAAGCCACGGCUAACUACGUGCCAGCAGCCGCGGUAAUACGUAGGUGGCAAGCGUUGUCCGGAAUUACUGGGUGUAAAGGGCGCGUAGGCGGGAAGGCAAGUCAGAAGUGAAAUCCCAGGGCUCAACCCUGGAACUGCUUCUGAAACUGUUUUUCUUGGGUGUCGGAGAGGAAAGUGGAAUUCCCAGUGUAGCGGUGAAAUGCGUAGAGAUUGGGAGGAACACCAGUGGCGAAGGCGGCUUUCUGGACGAUAACUGACGCUGAGGCGCGAAAGCGUGGGGAGCAAACAGGAUUAGAUACCCUUGUAGUC